UGUCUGUGCAGCUUCAAGGAGCCGAGCAGAAUUCCCCGCUGUCAUCAUCCUCCUCCCCUCCCUCCCUGCAGGCUGCCAGAGGGGAGGGCUGAUUACAGCUCCGCUAUUGUUCAAGUCUCUGCAUAGAUCUUCCGUGUUCUGAUGGCUGGAUUUUUACUGUACAUAUUUUGCAAGUUACAGCUUGAAGCUUCCUCCUUGCAGAAGGUUCUGUCAUUUGAAGGAACUCCACCCUGCUCUCCCUUGAAGAUGUGCAAUCCUAGGCUGUGUUUGAGCAUGCCUGGGAAGGCAGGUGCAGCCUGGCUGGAUCCUCAACAUUGCCUGCAAAUAAACACUGUUUAAACAAAUUGCACUAAAAAGAACAUUCAAGAUUCAGGUGCAGUAACCCUGGAGUUGUAAAUUUUUCUAGAGAAAUGAGAAAUGAUGUGAAUGCCCUGUGAGAGAAGUAAAUAAAAAGGUUCCUGUUGCUUUAAAUGCCAUAAGAAAAUCACAGAAGAAUGUGACACUUGCCAAGUGGAAGAAUACAGAAUCACUCAAAGGAAAAUGUGGCUUUCGAAGUCUUAGAUGAUUUAUCAGACAAUGAAAACUAAGAUGAAAAGUGUGAAAAUACAAUGCUAAAAUCUAAGUGCAUUAAAAACUCUUUCAGGUAAUAUCAUGGCUAUGAAAGGCAUUGAGCUGACAGUUCUUGUGAAUGAAGUUCUGUAACUUUAGAAGAAGGAGAUCCAUGGGCAAAGGAUAGAAAAGCCUCAUUUGUUCUGCCAUGCCAUGCAUUUCACCUCUGAUCUAGAAGAUAAGGAAG